UCAACCUGAGAGUUUGAUCCUGGCUCAGAGCGAACGCUGGCGGCAGGCCUAAUACAUGCAAGUCGAGCGGCCCUUCGGGGCAGCGGCGGACGGGUGAGUAACGCGUGGGAAUAUGCCCUUUGGUACGGAACAACUGAGGGAAACUUCAGCUAAUACCGUAUGUGCCCUUCGGGGGAAAGAUUUAUCGCCAUUGGAGUAGCCCGCGUUGGAUUAGGUAGUUGGUGAGGUAAAGGCUCACCAAGCCGACGAUCCAUAGCUGGUCUGAGAGGAUGAUCAGCCACACUGGGACUGAGACACGGCCCAGACUCCUACGGGAGGCAGCAGUAGGGAAUCUUGCGCAAUGGGCGAAAGCCUGACGCAGCCAUGCCGCGUGAAUGAUGAAGGUCUUAGGAUU
rnacentral:rRNA from 1 species